rnacentral:rRNA from 1 species
GACGAAGGAUGCAAGCGUUAUCCGGAAUCACUGGGCGUAAAGGGUGCGUAGGCGGGUCUUUAAGUCAGGGGUGAAAUCCUGGAGCUCAACUCCAGAACUGCCUUUGAUACUGAGGAUCUUGAGUUCGGGAGAGGUGAGUGGAACUGCGAGUGUAGAGGUGAAAUUCGUAGAUAUUCGCAAGAACACCAGUGGCGAAGGCGGCUCACUGGCCCGAUACUGACGCUGAGGCACGAAAGCGUGGGGAGCAAACAGG